rnacentral:lncRNA from 1 species
CAUAUAUUGAAUAGGUAAAAAUUUAACCUUUUCCCCAUAUUGAUUAGGUUUCAUGUGCGUGUUGGAAAAGUGGAAUACCAAAUUGUCAAAAGAGGAAAACUUGUGGAUAACAGAUCAACCAGGAACACAUAGAAAGAUGACAGAAAAACUUUAUUAACCUUAUUAUUUAUUUCUGAUAUAUUUCCCCACCUUUUUACAUAUUUUCAAACUAGAAGAUGUGCUUUAUUCCAGCAGCAUGUCCUAUCACCUUAUAUGUAGAAAGGGCCUCUCCCCCUAAGAUAUACACAAGACAUUUUAAUCAGUUGACUUUCUUUCAAAGUUAUUUGAAGUCAGGAAUUUGGUAAGAUUUUGUUUGCCCAAUUA